GCCAUGCCGCGUGCGGGAAGAAGGCCUUCAGGGUUGUAAACCGCUUUUGUCAGGGAAGAAAUCCUUUGGGUUAAUACCUCGGAGGGAUGACGGUACCUGAAGAAUAAGCACCGGCUAACUACGUGCCAGCAGCCGCGGUAAUACGUAGGGUGCGAGCGUUAAUCGGAAUUACUGGGCGUAAAGCGUGCGCAGGCGGUCUUGCAAGACAGGUGUGAAAUCCCCGGGCUUAACCUGGGAACUGCACUUGUGACUGCAAGGCUGGAGUACGGCAGAGGGGGAUGGAAUUCCGCGUGUAGCAGUGAAAUGCGUAGAUAUGCGGAGGAACACCGAUGGCGAAGGCAAUCCCCUGGGCCUGUACUGACGCUCAUGCACGAAAGCGUGGGGAGCAAACAGGAUUAGAUACCCUGGUAGUCCACGCCCUAAACGAUGUCAACUGGUUGUUGGACGGCUUGCUGUUCAGUAACGAAGCUAAC
rnacentral:rRNA from 1 species